rnacentral:rRNA from 1 species
UGUAUAAUGGGUCAGCGACUUAUAUUCUGUAGCAAGGUUAACCGAAUAGGGGAGCCGAAGGGAAACCGAGUCUUAACUGGGCGUUAAGUUGCAGGGUAUAGACCCGAAACCCGGUGAUCUAGCCAUGGGCAGGUUGAAGGUUGGGUAACACUAACUGGAGGACCGAACCGACUAAUGUUGAAAAAUUAGCGGAUGACUUGUGGCUGGGGGUGAAAGGCCAAUCAAACCGGGAGAUAGCUGGUUCUCCCCGAAAGCUAUUUAGGUAGCGCCUCGUGAAUUCAUCUCCGGGGGUAGAGCACUGUUUCGGCAAGGGGGUCAUCCCGACUUACCAACCCGAUGCAAACUGCGAAUACCGGAGAAUGUUAUCACGGGAGACACACGGCGGGUGCUAACGUCCGUCGUGAAGAGGGAAACAACCCAGACCGCCAGCUAAGGUCCCAAAGUCAUGGUUAAGUGGGAAACGAUGUGGGAAGGCCCAGACAGCCAGGAUGUUGGCUUAGAAGCAGCCAUCAUUUAAAGAAAGCGUAAUAGCUCACUGGUCGAGUCGGCCUGCGCGGAAGAUGUAACGGGGCUAAACCAUGCACCGAAGCUGCGGCAGCGACGCUUAUGCGUUGUUGGGUAGGGGAGCGUUCUGUAAGCCUGCGAAGGUGUACUGUGAGGUAUGCUGGAGGUAUCAGAAGUGCGAAUGCUGACAUAAGUAACGAUAAAGCGGGUGAAAAGCCCGCUCGCCGGAAGACCAAGGGUUCCUGUCCAACGUUAAUCGGGGCAGGGUGAGUCGACCCCUAAGGCGAGGCCGAAAGGCGUAGUCGAUGGGAAACAGGUUAAUAUUCCUGUACUUGGUGUUACUGCGAAGGGGGGACGGAGAAGGCUAUGUUGGCCGGGCGACGGUUGUCCCGGUUUAAGCGUGUAGGCUGGUUUUCCAGGCAAAUCCGGAAAAUCAAGGCUGAGGCGUGAUGACGAGGCACUACGGUGCUGAAGCAACAAAUGCCCUGCUUCCAGGAAAAGCCUCUAAGCAUCAGGUAACAUCAAAUCGUACCCCAAACCGACACAGGUGGUCAGGUAGAGAAUACCAAGGCGCUUGAGAGAACUCGGGUGAAGGAACUAGGCAAAAUGGUGCCGUAACU